rnacentral:rRNA from 1 species
UACGUAGGGGGCGAGCGUUGUCCGGAAUCAUUGGGCGUAAAGCGCGUGUAGGCGGCCCGGUAAGUCCGCUGUGAAAGUCCAGGGCUCAACCCUGGGAUGCCGGUGGAUACUGUCGGGCUCGAGUCCGGAAGAGGCGAGUGGAAUUCCUGGUGUAGCGGUGAAAUGCGCAGAUAUCAGGAGGAACACCUAUGGCGAAGGCAGCUCGCUGGGACGGUACUGACGCUGAGGCGCGAAAGCGUGGGGAGCGAACAGG